AACGCACGAGACCUGCGGACCUGCGAGGGAUCAUUACCGAGUUAUCCAACUCCCAACCCCUGUGAAUUAUACCUUUAAUUGUUGCUUCGGCGGGACUUCGCGCCCGCCGGGGACCCAAACCUUCUGAAUUUUUUAAUAAGUAUCUUCUGAGUGGUUAAAAAAAUGAAUCAAAACUUUUAACAAUGGAUCUCU
rnacentral:misc_RNA from 1 species